rnacentral:rRNA from 1 species
UACUCCUACGGGAGGCAGCAGUGGGGAAUAUUGCACAAUGGGCGCAAGCCUGAUGCAGCCAUGCCGCGUGUAUGAAGAAGGCCUUCGGGUUGUAAAGUACUUUCAGCGAGGAGGAAGGUGUUGUGGUUAAUAACCACAGCAAUUGACGUUACUCGCAGAAGAAGCACCGGCUAACUCCGUGCCAGCAGCCGCGGUAAUUAAG